UUAAGCGACUAAGCGUACACGGUGGAUGCCCUGGCAGUCAGAGGCGAUGAAGGACGUGCUAAUCUGCGAUAAGCGUCGGUAAGGUGAUAUGAACCGUUAUAACCGGCGAUUUCCGAAUGGGGAAACCCAGUGUGAUUCGUCACACUAUCAUUAACUGAAUCCAUAGGUUAAUGAGGCGAACCGGGGGAACUGAAACAUCUAAGUACCCCGAGGAAAAGAAAUCAACCGAGAUUCCCCCAGUAGCGGCGAGCGAACGGGGAGGAGCCCAGAGCCUGAAUCAGUGUGUGUGUUAGUGGAAGCGUCUGGAAAGGCGCGCGAUACAGGGUGACAGCCCCGUACACAAAAAUGCACAUACUGUGAGCUCGAUGAGUAGGGCGGGACACGUGGUAUCCUGUCUGAAUAUGGGGGGACCAUCCUCCAAGGCUAAAUACUCCUGACUGACCGAUAGUGAACCAGUACCGUGAGGGAAAGGCGAAAAGAACCCCGGCGAGGGGAGUGAAAAAGAACCUGAAACCGUGUACGUACAAGCAGUGGGAGCCUCUUUUAUGGGGUGACUGCGUACCUUUUGUAUAAUGGGUCAGCGACUUAUAUUCUGUAGCAAGGUUAACCGAAUAGGGGAGCCGAAGGGAAACCGAGUCUUAACUGGGCGUUAAGUUGCAGGGUAUAGACCCGAAACCCGGUGAUCUAGCCAUGGGCAGGUUGAAGGUUGGGUAACACUAACUGGAGGACCGAACCGACUAAUGUUGAAAAAUUAGCGGAUGACUUGUGGCUGGGGGUGAAAGGCCAAUCAAACCGGGAGAUAGCUGGUUCUCCCCGAAAGCUAUUUAGGUAGCGCCUCGUGAAUUCAUCUCCGGGGGUAGAGCACUGUUUCGGCAAGGGGGUCAUCCCGACUUACCAACCCGAUGCAAACUGCGAAUACCGGAGAAUGUUAUCACGGGAGACACACGGCGGGUGCUAACGUCCGUCGUGAAGAGGGAAACAACCCAGACCGCCAGCUAAGGUCCCAAAGUCAUGGUUAAGUGGGAAACGAUGUGGGAAGGCCCAGACAGCCAGGAUGUUGGCUUAGAAGCAGCCAUCAUUUAAAGAAAGCGUAAUAGCUCACUGGUCGAGUCGGCCUGCGCGGAAGAUGUAACGGGGCUAAACCAUGCACCGAAGCUGCGGCAGCGACACUGUGUGUUGUUGGGUAGGGGAGCGUUCUGUAAGCCUGUGAAGGUGUGCUGUGAGGCAUGCUGGAGGUAUCAGAAGUGCGAAUGCUGACAUAAGUAACGAUAAAGCGGGUGAAAAGCCCGCUCGCCGGAAGACCAAGGGUUCCUGUCCAACGUUAAUCGGGGCAGGGUGAGUCGACCCCUAAGGCGAGGCCGAAAGGCGUAGUCGAUGGGAAACAGGUUAAUAUUCCUGUACUUGGUGUUACUGCGAAGGGGGGACGGAGAAGGCUAUGUUGGCCGGGCGACGGUUGUCCCGGUUUAAGCGUGUAGGCUGGUUUUCCAGGCAAAUCCGGAAAAUCAAGGCUGAGGCGUGAUGACGAGGCACUACGGUGCUGAAGCAACAAAUGCCCUGCUUCCAGGAAAAGCCUCUAAGCAUCAGGUAACAUCAAAUCGUACCCCAAACCGACACAGGUGGUCAGGUAGAGAAUACCAAGGCGCUUGAGAGAACUCGGGUGAAGGAACUAGGCAAAAUGGUGCCGUAACUUCGGGAGAAGGCACGCUGAUAUGUAGGUGAAGUCCCUCGCGGAUGGAGCUGAAAUCAGUCGAAGAUACCAGCUGGCUGCAACUGUUUAUUAAAAACACAGCACUGUGCAAACACGAAAGUGGACGUAUACGGUGUGACGCCUGCCCGGUGCCGGAAGGUUAAUUGAUGGGGUCAGCGCAAGCGAAGCUCUUGAUCGAAGCCCCGGUAAACGGCGGCCGUAACUAUAACGGUCCUAAGGUAGCGAAAUUCCUUGUCGGGUAAGUUCCGACCUGCACGAAUGGCGUAAUGAUGGCCAGGCUGUCUCCACCCGAGACUCAGUGAAAUUGAACUCGCUGUGAAGAUGCAGUGUACCCGCGGCAAGACGGAAAGACCCCGUGAACCUUUACUAUAGCUUGACACUGAACAUUGAGCCUUGAUGUGUAGGAUAGGUGGGAGGCUUUGAAGUGUGGACGCCAGUCUGCAUGGAGCCGACCUUGAAAUACCACCCUUUAAUGUUUGAUGUUCUAACGUGGACCCGUGAUCCGGGUUGCGGACAGUGUCUGGUGGGUAGUUUGACUGGGGCGGUCUCCUCCUAAAGAGUAACGGAGGAGCACGAAGGUUGGCUAAUCCUGGUCGGACAUCAGGAGGUUAGUGCAAUGGCAUAAGCCAGCUUGACUGCGAGCGUGACGGCGCGAGCAGGUGCGAAAGCAGGUCAUAGUGAUCCGGUGGUUCUGAAUGGAAGGGCCAUCGCUCAACGGAUAAAAGGUACUCCGGGGAUAACAGGCUGAUACCGCCCAAGAGUUCAUAUCGACGGCGGUGUUUGGCACCUCGAUGUCGGCUCAUCACAUCCUGGGGCUGAAGUAGGUCCCAAGGGUAUGGCUGUUCGCCAUUUAAAGUGGUACGCGAGCUGGGUUUAGAACGUCGUGAGACAGUUCGGUCCCUAUCUGCCGUGGGCGCUGGAGAACUGAGGGGGGCUGCUCCUAGUACGAGAGGACCGGAGUGGACGCAUCACUGGUGUUCGGGUUGUCAUGCCAAUGGCACUGCCCGGUAGCUAAAUGCGGAAGAGAUAAGUGCUGAAAGCAUCUAAGCACGAAACUUGCCCCGAGAUGAGUUCUCCCUGACCCUUUAAGGGUCCUGAAGGAACGUUGAAGACGACGACGUUGAUAGGCCGGGUGUGUAAGCGCAGCGAUGCGUUGAGCUAACCGGUACUAAUGAACCGUGAGGCUUAACCUU
rnacentral:rRNA from 1 species